rnacentral:rRNA from 1 species
AGUGAACGCUGGCGGUAGGCCUAACACAUGCAAGUCGAACGGCAGCACAGUAAGAGCUUGCUCUUACGGGUGGCGAGUGGCGGACGGGUGAGGAAUACAUCGGAAUCUACUUUUUCGUGGGGGAUAACGUAGGGAAACUUACGCUAAUACCGCAUACGACCUACGGGUGAAAGCAGUGGAUCUUCGGACCUUGCGCGAUUGAAUGAGCCGAUGUCGGAUUAGCUAGUUGGCGGGGUAAAGGCCCACCAAGGCAACGAUCCGUAGCUGGUCUGAGAGGAUGAUCAGCCACACUGGAACUGAGACACGGUCCAGACUCCUACGGGAGGCAGCAGUGGGGAAUAUUGGACAAUGGGCGCAAGCCUGACCCAGCCAUACCGCGUGGGUGAAGAAGGCCUUCGGGUUGUAAAGCCCUUUUGUUGGGAAAGAAAAGCAGCAGGUUAAUACCCCGCUGUUCUGACGGUACCCAAAGAAUAAGCACCGGCUAACUUCGUG